AGAUAUAAACGAGUAUAUCUUUCGUUAAAUCGAAUUGAAAGAUAACCAAGAGAAAACGUUCUUUUUACGAUCGUACUACGUUCGAACAUUUGUAAAACGUGUCAGGAGUAUUGCAAUAAUGAAAAAUAAAUACGUGAUAAAUGAAAAUAUUGAACAUUGGUAUUCCAGUGGAUUUUGGAUAUAAAAUGAAAUCUGUCAAAAAAGGGAUAGGAAGUUUUUCAAAAGUUAGUCAUGAAUGACAAUCGGUAUUUAUCGAUUGUAAAAGAUGGAAAGAGUAUUUUUCCAAAUACGAUUAUGGGUAGACUAGCUCGGACAAUGACGAGGACCGAUCGAGGACCGAGACAAGUACGGUAUUACGACACGGAAUUCUCUAUAUUGGAAGUGUACUGAAUAACUCUCGGGAGCUGCACGCUCUUGCGAAAGGCAAACAAUCGUGCGGUGGUGCGGCAAGGAAGACAACGACGAGAAGGUGCCGCGCGAAAAGGAAUGGACAGCCGUGCAAGGUGCCUGUCUACGGAGAGAAACUAUACAGGGUAAAUUUCGGCAGCAAUUAUUAGAGUACUAUACAUACUACCUUCCACGAAGGAAUGCUUCUAGUUAUUACACGGUAAGAUAAAAGUAACUAUAAAAAAAUAUAGGGUAUUAGUUGUUUAUUCGAAUAACUUUCUCAUAAUGCAAAACUCGUAAGACCUGAAAUUACAGAGACGGAUUAAUUAUUAAACUAAAAUCAAGAGCAAAAUCUUGAAACCAGUCUUUACCUGUAAUUGAGUAUUUAAAAUCUCGAAGGUAUUUACGCGAUCAAAGUUUGAAGAGGGGAAUAAAAUGUUACAUUCCUCAGGCUUGCUUGCUGCUAUCGAAUCACUGAAACAAGACUUCUAAGAGAUACGUAUGUAUAUGAAUGUGUGUGCGUGUAUAUAUAUAACUCGGAACUAUUUAAUCGAGGUAUGUUAAUUUUCAUCAUUUAAUAUCUCACAAAAAAGUCCCUUCAGAUAUGAUCUUAUCUUUCGAAGAAAGUUACAAAGUCUUGAUCUCCUUUUAUUUACAGAUUAUUACCAAUUUACUUUGAUUUUAUUUCAAUAAUUAAUAAUUACCAAUACAAAGUACAUGAAACCCUUUUUCUUACGAUGAAAAAGUUUAUGAAUUUUUUUUCCCAAUCAAAAAAAAAGAAAAAACAAGAAAAAAGGAAAAGAAAAAGUAGUAUCAUUAAUUUAGAUGCAAAGAUAAAUGCAAAUGGGACAUAUCGAAUGAAUUAAAGGUAUGCACGAGAGAGAUCUCGAAUGACUCGUGGAUUAAGAGAAAGAGAGAGUUUGUAUGAACCGAAUAUAAAAGGGAGAUCCAAGGGAAGAUAUGAAAA
rnacentral:lncRNA from 1 species